GGUCUCAAUCUUCGGAGAGAAACCAGGGUGGACAGUGGCGGAAGGGUGAGUAACGCGUGGGCAAUUUGCCUCCGGAUUGGGGACAACUCCGCGAAAGCGGGGCUAAUACCGAAUAUGGUCUCCUGUCGCAUGACGGGAAGAUUAAAGAUGGGGAUUCUUCGGAACCUGUCGUCUGGAGAGGAGCCCGCGUACGAUCAGCUUGUUGGUGAGGUAACGGCUCACCAAGGCUUUGACCGUUAGCCGGCCUGAGAGGGUGAUCGGCCACACUGGGACUGAGACACUGCCCAGACUCCUACGGGAGGCUGCAGUCGAGGAUCAUUCGCAAUGCGCGAAAGCGUGACGAUGCGACGCUGCGUGUAGGAUGACGGCCUUCGGGUUGUAAACUACUGUCAUGAGGGAAAAACCAGCGAUGGGACAAUACCCCAUCGCUCUGAUGGUACCUCAAGAGGAAGCCACGGCUAACUCUGUGCCAGCAGCCACGGUAAUACAGAGGUGGCUAGCGUUGUUCGGAUUUACUGGGCGUAAAGCGUGCGUAGGCGGUUCCGUGUGUCGGGUGUGAAAUCCCACGGCUUACCCGUGGAAUGGCACCCGAAACUGCGGGGCUAGAGUGCAGGAGGGGAGAGCGGAAUUCUUAGUGUAGCGGUGAAAUGCGUUGAUAUUAAGAAGAACACCGGCGGCGAAGGCGGCUCUCUGGAAUGUAACUGACGCUGAGGCACGAAAGUUGGGGGAGCAAACAGGAUUAGAUACCCUGGUAGUCCCAACCGUAAACGGUGUGAACUUGGUGUAGGGGGUAUUGACCCCCCCUGUGCCGGAGCUAACGCGUUAAGUUCACCGCCUGGGGAGUACGGCCGCAAGGCUAAAACUCAAAGAAAUUGACGGGGGCCCGCACAAGCGGAGGAGCAUGUGGCUUAAUUCGAUGCAACGCGAAGAACCUUACCUGGGCUUGACAUGGGGACCCUUCGGGGGUGGUAGCGAAAGUUACCUUUACCAUCACAGGUGCUGCAUGGCUGUCGUCAGUUCGUGCCGUGAGGUGUUUGGUUAAGUCCAGCAACGAACGCAACCCUUGUGACUAGUUACCAGCGUCGGUGAUGAGCCGGCAGGCACUCUAGUCAGACCGCCCGUACAAGCGGGAGGAAGGAGGGGAUGACGUCAAGUCAGUAUGGCCCUUACGCCCAGGGCUGCACACGUGCUACAAUGGUCAGUACAGAAGGAUGCAAAACCGCAAGGUCGAGCAAAUCCCCAAAGCUGGCCCCAGUUCGGAUUGGAGUCUGCAACUCGACUCCAUGAAGUCGGAUUCGCUAGUAACGGCGUAUCAGCUACGACGCCGUGAAUACGUUCCCGGGCCUUGUACACACGCCCGUCACAUCAUGAAAGCCGUCUGCACCCGAAGUCGCUGAGCCAACCCGCAAGGGAGGCAAGUGCCGAAGGUGUGGGUGGUGAUUGG
rnacentral:rRNA from 1 species